UACGUAGGUGGCAAGCGUUGUCCGGAAUUAUUGGGCGUAAAGCGCGCGCAGGCGGUCCUUUAAGUCUGAUGUGAAAGCCCACGGCUCAACCGUGGAGGGUCAUUGGAAACUGGGGGACUUGAGUGCAGGAGAGAAGAGUGGAAUUCCACGUGUAGCGGUGAAAUGCGUAGAGAUCGGAAGGAACACCAGUGGCGAAGGCGGCUACCUGGCCUGAUACUGACGCUGAGGCGCGAAAGCUAGGGGAGCGAACGGG
rnacentral:rRNA from 1 species